AUUAAUUUUUUUGUUGAGUAUCUCAUUGAGAUACUCAAAUGAAGAUGAUCUAAGGAUUUUGUUGUAUGGUUCUCUUUAAUAGCUCGUUUACAAAAAAAAAAAAACGGUUUCCAAAAAAAAAGGUUAUCUUUAUAGUCAAUUUGUCGAAAAAAUUUACAAUCGGAUUAAAAAACAAUAAGUCUAUAGGGAAUAAAAAACAAAGAAGUAUAUACAGUAGAACCUCUAUAAAUUAAUACUCGAUAAAUUAAUAACCUCUCUAAAUUAAUAAAUUCUUCCGGUCCCGAGUUGGGACUAGUGUAAAAAACAAUACAAAUCGAUAAAUUAAUAAGAUAAUAACUUUUUUGAAAACCCUAGGUAAAAUAUAGUCCUAUCAAUAUCAUAAAUUAAUAAUUCUAUAAAAAAAAUAUAUAUAUA
rnacentral:sRNA from 1 species